rnacentral:lncRNA from 1 species
AGUCUGUCCGGCCCCCACCCCCGGCGCGCGCUCCUCCGCACCCACAAGGGCUUUCAGCAGCCGCGCCUCCCCUUCCCGCCGCCGCCUCCUUUUCCGCUGGCUGUGGCGGGCGAGGACACGUCAGGGGCCAUAAAUAAAUAAAUAAUUCCAUUCACCGGUUGACAGCAAGGCGAACCGGCUGCGGCUUGCGGGGAACAGAGAGCUGCAGCGCCCACCCUGCGCCAGAGACCAGAUAAAAUAAUCCAAAAUCUACUCUACCUCUCUUCAUUUGUAAUACCUUCAAAUAUCACACUUCAAGGUUUAGUGACUAGGCCUAAAGAUUUCACAUAUAAUCCAAAGAAAUCUGUUCAAGUGGACAUCUAUCAACA